CUGCUUCAAACGCUGGCAAUGGCAGUCCUCCACAGGAGUGGCCUAGUCGCUGGUGCUACCUGAAGACUUAAACCUACUGAGCCUGAACCUCCGAGAGGUCACCAUCUUCUCAUUUUAAGAUGCUGCUUCUAAGGAAGGACAAAGCUCAUGACGUUAAGUUUAAGGGGAAGCAAACAGCACUCACGUCUGCAUCAUCCAGGGCCAUGUUCCUGACCUUGUUUGCAGCAGAAACUCCCAUCUGGAAGUGCAAAGGUCCUACCCUGACCCUGUCCAAAGUCUUCCAGCGGGGAGGUCUGGAGUUCAAGUGUGGUUUCAUUGCCAAAAACAACUCCCAGAAAAGCAGCCAGCAGUUCCCAGAGUAAAAUGACAGGGUCUGGCAUGCAGGAGGUAUGUGGUAACAGGAUGGCACUUUGUGAUGGAUUCGGCUGCUGGAGGAAGAAACAGGCCCACAAGCGCAGAUGCUCACAGCUAUAAUCCCAGUACUUUGAAAAGGUGAGGUAGGAUGAUCACUUGACCCCAGGAGUUC
rnacentral:lncRNA from 1 species